GCUCCGCUGGCGCAAUGGUAGCGCGCCAGACUUCUAUUGUUGAAAUCUGGAGGGUACGUCUAUUCUCUCCACCACCGCGCUUCCUCAUCAAAAAUUCUAAUAUGUUGCUCUUAGCUGUGUGUUCGAGUCCCACGCGGAGUG
rfam:Fonsecaea pedrosoi CBS 271.37 unplaced genomic scaffold supercont1.5, whole genome shotgun sequence.